CCUACGGGAGGCAGCAGUGAGGAAUAUUGGUCAAUGGCCGGAAGGCUGAACCAGCCAAGCCGCGUGAGGGAGGAAGGCGCAGAGCGUCGCAGACCUCUUUUGCCGGGGGACAAAAGGUCGGACUCGUCCGGUCCUGAGGGUACCCGGAGAAAAAGCAUCGGCUAACUCCGUGCCAGCAGCCGCGGUAAUACGGAGGAUGCGAGCGUUAUCCGGAUUCAUUGGGUUUAAAGGGUGCGCAGGUGGCACGUUAAGUCUGGUGUUAAAGGCGGAGGCUCAACUUCCGUAGGGCACUGGAUACUGGCGGGCUUGAAUGCGGUAGAGGUAAAGGGAAUUCGUGGUGUAGCGGUGAAAUGCGUAGAUAUCAGGAAGAACAUCGGUGGCGUAGGCACUUUACUGGGCCGUAAUUGACGCUGAGGAACGAAAGCCGGGGUAGCAAAUGGGAUUAGAUACCCCAGUAGUC
rnacentral:rRNA from 1 species